UGCUCUUAUAGAAGUUAGCGGCGGACGGGUGAGUAACACGUGGGUAACCUACCCAUAAGACUGGGAUAACUCCGGGAAACCGGGGCUAAUACCGGAUAAUAUUUUGAACUGCAUAGUUCGAAAUUGAAAGGCGGCUUCGGCUGUCACUUAUGGAUGGACCCGCGUCGCAUUAGCUAGUUGGUGAGGUAACGGCUCACCAAGGCGACGAUGCGUAGCCGACCUGAGAGGGUGAUCGGCCACACUGGGUACUGAGACACGGCCCAGACUCCUACGGGAGGCAGCAGUAGGGAAUCUUCCGCA
rnacentral:rRNA from 1 species